rnacentral:rRNA from 1 species
GAAAGUAAAGAAGGGCGUAUGGCGGAUGCCUAGGCUCUCGGAGGCGAAGAAGGACGUGAUAAGCUGCGAUAAGCUGCGGCGAGGAGCAAAUAUCCUGUGACCCGCAGAUUUCCGAAUGGGGCAACCCGGCAGGACCACCUGUCAUCCCGGGAAACGGGAAGCAAACGUGGGGAACUGAAACAUCUCAUUACCCACAGGAAAAGAAAAUAACAAUGAUUCCGUCAGUAGUGGCGAGCGAAAGCGGAAGAGCCCAAACCGGUUCUGUUUCGGCAGAGCCGGGGUAGAAGGACUGCAUAUGACAAAGGAGCAGGUAGCCGAACGGUCUGGAAAGGCCGGUCAAAGACGGUGAUAACCCGGUAGGCGAAACCAGCGACAGCGACAGCAGUAUCCUGAGUAGUGCGGGACACGAGAAAUCCUGUAUGAAUCCGCGGGGACCAUCCCGUAAGGCUAAAUACUCCCGAGAGACCGAUAGCGAACCAGUACUGUGAAGGAAAGGUGAAAAGAACCUCGAACAGAGGAGUGAAAAAGACCCUGAAACCAUACGCCUACAAGCGGUCGGAGCCCCUACGUGGGGUGACGGCGUGCCUUUUGCAUAAUGAACCUACGAGUUACUUUUGCCAGCCAGGUUAAUCGAUUCAGUCGAGGAGCCGAAGCGAAAGCGAGUCUUAAUAGGGCGGUAUAAGUUGGCAGGAGUAGACGCGAAACCAAGUGAUCUACCCAUGAGCAGGUUGAAGGUUAGGUAACACUAACUGGAGGACCGCACCGGUAAACGUUGAAAAGUUUUCGGAUGACUUGUGGGUAGGGGUGAAAGGCUAAUCAAACUUGGAGAUAGCUCGUACUCCCCGAAAUGCAUUUAGGUGCAGCCUUCUGACUAUAUUUAAGAGGUAGAGCGACUGAUAAGAUGCGAGGGCUUCACCGCCUAUCAAGUCUUGAUAAACUCCGAAUGCUUAAAUAAGAAUCAGAGGAGUGAGGGCAUGGGUGCUAAGGUCCAUGUCCGAGAGGGAAAUAACCCAGACCACCGGCUAAGGUCCCGAAAUAACGGCUAAGUUGAAUUAACGAAGUAGAAUUGCAAAGACAGCUAGGAUGUUGGCUUGGAAGCAGCCAUUCAUUUAAAGAGUGCGUAACAGCUCACUAGUCGAGGAGUUUUGCAUGGAUAAUAAUCGGGCAUAAGCCCUUUACCGAAGCUGUGGAUGUCGCAAGACAUGGUAGGGGAGCAUUCCGGCGGCGACGAAGGCCGUCCUCGAGGACGACUGGAGCUCCCGGAAAAGCAAAUGUAGGUAUAAGUAACGAUAAAGGGGGCGCGAAACCCCCUCGCCAUAAGACUAAGGAUUCCUGAUCAACGCUAAUCGGAUCAGGGUAAGUCGGGCCCUAAGGCGCAGCCGAACGGCGCAGCCGAUGGAAGAAACGGUAAAGAUUCCGUUACUGGAUAUAGGAGCGAUGUGGAGACGGAGAAGUGACACACCCGCCUGCCGACGGAAGCGCAGGUUAAAGGAAGUAGGUAAACGCCGGGCAGGCAAAUCCGCCCAGCGUGCCGAAGCUGACAGUAUCGAGAGCCCCCGGGCAAUCGAAUAGCGGUGGUAACCAGGCUCCCAAGAAAAUCCGCUAAGCAUAUUCUAUAUCCACCCGUACCCCAAACGGACACACGUAGUCGGGUAGAAUAUACCAAGGCGCUCGAAAGACUCACGGUUAAGGAACUAGGCAAAUUGACCCUGUAACCUCGGGAAAAAGGGUCCCCAGUAAGAUGGGGCGCAGAGAAUAGGUCCAGGCAACUGUUUAACAAAAACACAGGGCUGUGCAAAAUUUGAAGAUGAAGUAUACAGCCUGACACCUGCCCGGUGCCGGAAGGUUAAGAGGAGAGCUAAUCGCAAGAGAAGGCUUGAAUUGAAGCCCCGGUAAACGGCGGCCGUAACUAUAACGGUCCUAAGGUAGCGAAAUUCCUUGUCGG